rnacentral:rRNA from 1 species
UACGAAGGGGGCGAGCGUUGUUCGGAUUUACUGGGCGUAAAGGGCGCGCAGGCGGCUCAUUUUGUCAGGCGUGAAAUCCCCGGGCUUAACCUGGGAACUGCAUUUGUGACUGCAUCGCUGGAGUGCGGCAGAGGGGGAUGGAAUUCCGCGUGUAGCAGUGAAAUGCGUAGAUAUGCGGAGGAACACCGAUGGCGAAGGCAAUCCCCUGGGCCUGCACUGACGCUCAUGCACGAAAGCGUGGGGAGCAAACAGG